GUUUCUUUCCACUUGGGAACUUCAACAGAUCGUCUUAGUUUUUAUCAGUUUAACAUCUGAUGCGUCCCCAUCUGGGGAUCAUAGGUUAAUUGGAUUUUUGCGCACGUGGGCCGAUUUCGAAGCUUGCGUCCGUCGCCCCAUGCUUUAACCAGAUAUGGCAGUAUCUUGGGGUACAAAAAGCCUCU